rnacentral:rRNA from 1 species
UCAAAGGAAUUGACGGGGACCCGCACAAGCGGUGGAUGAUGUGGAUUAAUUCGAUGCAACGCGAAAAACCUUACCUACCCUUGACAUGUCUGGAAUGCCGAAGAGAUUUGGCAGUGCUCGCAAGAGAACCGGAACACAGGUGCUGCAUGGCUGUCGUCAGCUCGUGUCGUGAGAUGUUGGGUUAAGUCCCGCAACGAGCGCAACCCUUGUCAUUAGUUGCUACGCAAGAGCACUCUAAUGAGACUGCCGGUGACAAACCGGAGGAAGGUGGGGAUGACGUCAAGUCCUCAUGGCCCUUAUGGGUAGGGCUUCACACGUCAUACAAUGGUCGGGACAGAGGGUCGCCAACCCGCGAGGGGGAGCCAAUCUCAGAAACCCGAUCGUAGUCCGGAUCGCAGUCUGCAACUCGACUGCGUGAAGUCGGAAUCGCUAGUAAUCGCGGAUCAGAAUGUCGCGGUGAAUACGUUCCCGGGUCUUGUACACACCGCCCGUCACACCAUGGGAGUGGGUUUCACCAGAAGUAGGUAGCCUAACCGCAAGGAGGGCGCUUACCACGGUGGGAUUCAUGACUGGGGUGAAGUCGUAA